rnacentral:rRNA from 1 species
GACGAACGCUGGCGGCGUGCUUAACACAUGCAAGUCGAACGAUGAAGCCGGAGCUUGCUCUGGUGAAUUAGUGGCGAACGGGUGAGUAACACGUGAGUAACCUGCCCUUGACUCUGGGAUAACUGCGGGAAACUGUAGCUAAUACCGGAUACGACCCUCGGAGGCAUCUCCUGGGGGUGGAAAGAAUUUCGGUCAAGGAUGGACUCGCGGCCUAGCAGCUAGUUGGUGAGGUAAAGGCCCACCAAGGCGACGACGGGUAGCCGGCCUGAGAGGGUGACCGGCCACACGGGGACGGAGACACGGCCCAGACCCCAACGGGAGGCAGCAGGGGGAAAUAUUGCACAAGGGGCGAAAGCCUGAUGCAGCACCGCCGCGUGAGGGAUGACGGCCUUCGGGUUGUAACCCUUUUUUAGCAGGGAAGAAGCGAAAGGGCCGGUACCUGCAGAAAAAGCACCGGCUAACUACGUGCCAGCAGCCGCCGUAA